CCGAUCGCAUCAUUUCGCAUGUCAUGACGGCGGUGCAGAUAAUCCCAAGCUGAUAAAAAUCAACCAGUCUCUAGAAGUUAGUUCUCUCGGUUGGGGAGUUAUUUGGGUGGUAACGAAGCAGUGGACCAGGCAAUCAAUCGAGCACACCAUUGAGACAUGGAUCGACCUCCACUGAUUGACGGAGCUGUGCUGACUUAGAUUGACACCAUUGAUGAUAAAGUGAUGGCAGAUCUACCAGCUCACUUCACAUCAGAGAGCUCU